UUUACAUAGCAUCAUAGACUCAUAGAAUAUCCUGAGUUGGAAGGGACCCACAAGCAUCAUCGAGUACAACUUCUGGCUCCAAACAGGUCUACCCAAAACUUCAGACCAUAUGACUGAGAGCACAGUCCAAACGCUUCUUAAACUCUGACAGGCUUGGGAGAGUAGAGGGG